ensembl:lncRNA
AUGGACGUCGCCCUGCAGUUACUGCAGGUGGUGCUGUUCGUCAUGGUGGUGUAUCUGUACCGUGCAUUUGGAGAAGGCCGCGCUCUGAAACGGACCGAUCUGCUGGCUGGCAGAGACCACGCCCCCACCGAUGACCUGGGGGAGCUGAACUACGCCUACAAUGACCAGGUUGGAGCUUACAUAGACCCCCAUCACCUGCCUUAUCACCACGAUGACCACGGCCAGGUGUAUGUGGACCAAGUGCAGAGCUACUAACCUGCUACAAACAUUAUAGGCUCAGGUUCUGGUUCUGGAAACAUGAGCCUCCAACCAGCCUGCGGUCUUAUACCCUCUGUUAUCCAACAGACACAGCUUCUCAGAAUACACACACACAUCUUAGAGCAGGCACAAGCACAAUCAUAUUUCACAGUAACAUAUCAUGGAUGAGAUCAUCGGAGUGACAUCACAUAUAUGUCCAUAGUAAGACAUCUAUAAACACACCAACACCUGUGUGGAAAACAACGAACGAUGGCAAAAACACAGCUAACACUACACAACCAAUACUAAAACAACACAACUGGGGAGAUGACGUACACAGGCAGGCUAAGUCUAUACGUGUGAAGCUUGAAAUUUGUAGGAGGAG